CAGGACUCGCAAGACUCCUACAACCCUGUGAACUUAACUAUAAGCACGUUGCUUCGGCGGGUGUCUCGGCGAGGGUCCUCCCUCCCCGGAGCGCUAAGCCCGCCGGCAGCCUACUAUACUCUGUCUCUUUGCGUUGGCAUCUCGAGUACAAUCAAACAAGUUA
rnacentral:misc_RNA from 1 species